rnacentral:rRNA from 1 species
CUCAUUGGUCUAGUUUUUUUGCGCCUAAAAUGUAUCGAGACUUAAGAAAUUUACCGAAGCGGCAAGUUUUAUUUUUAAUAAAACGGUAGCGGAACAUUCUGUACGUUAAUAAAGAUAUAUUGUAAAAUAUAUUGAAGAUAUCAGAAAAGAAAAUGCUGGCAUUAGUAACAAAAAAUAAUGAUAAUAAAUCAUUAUCACCGUAAAUCCAAGGGUUUCUAUGUUCAAAUGUAUUACAUAGAGUGAAACGGCCCCUAAGAAAGAUUUGACGAAAGCAAAUUUUGAUGGGAUAAUUUUUAAAUUAAAUUUUUUUAAAAAGUGACAAAAAUUUUAAAUUUUUCAGGAAAUAACUUUUUAAUUAAAAACCGUACCCUAAACCGACACAGGUAGAUAGGUCGAGUAGACUAAGGUGAAUGGGAGAACUAUAUUGAAGGAACUCGGCAAAAUGACUUUGUAACUUCGGGAUAAAAAGUACCUAUAAUUUAAAAAUUAGGUGUCACAAAAUAGGGGGUUGCGACUGUUUAAUAAAAACUUAGGACUCUGCUAAAUGGUAACAUGAUGUAUAGGGUCUGACACCUGCCCGGUGCUGGAAGAUUAAAAAGAGAUGUUUACGCAUUAAAUGGAAGUCCCAGUAAACGGCGGCCGUAACUCUGACGGUCCUAAGGUAGCGAAAUUCCUUGUCGGGUAAGUUCCGACCUGCAUGAAUGGUGUAACGACAUCCCCGCUGUCUCCAAUAUAGACUCAGUGAAUUUGAAUUAUCCGUGAAGAUGCGGAUUUUCUAUAGUUAGACGGAAAGACCCCGUGAACCUUUACUACAUUUUUAUAUUGUUAUUUUAUUUAAUACGUGUAGUAUAAGUGGUAAUUGUAGAAACCUUUACGCUAGUAAAUUGUUUAGAUGUCUUUGAAAUACCACUCUUAUUAAAAUAAAUAACUAAUAUUUGUUAAAUAAACAGUGUAUGAUUGGUAGUUUGACUGGGGCGGUCACCUCCUAAAGAGUAACGGAGGUGUACAAAGGUAAGCUCAAAUUGGAUAAUAAUAUCAAUUGUAGAAUGGAAUGGUAAAAGCUUGCUUGACUGUAAGAUAGACAUAUCAAACAGGGACGAAAGUCGGUCAUAGUGAUCCGAUAAUUCUUUGUGGAAAGAUUAUCGCUCAACGGAUAAAAGGUACUCCGGGGAUAACAGGCUAAUGACUCCUAAGAGCUCCUAUCGACGGAGUCGUUUGGCACCUCGAUGUCGACUCAUCACAUCCUGGAGCUGAAGAAGGUUCCAAGGGUUCGGCUGUUCGCCGAUUAAAGUGGUACGUGAGUUGGGUUUAGAACGUCGUGAGACAGUUUGGUUCCUAUCUUCUAUAGAUAUUUUGAAAAAUGAAAGAAUCUAACUCUAGUACGAGAGGACCGAGAAAGGUAAAUCUCUGGUGUAUCGGUUGUUGAAAAGCAUCGCCGAGUAGCUAAAUUUAUUUUGGAUAAUUACUGAAAGCAUCUAAGUAAGAAACCAUUCUUAAAAUUUUUUCAUAAAAAAACUGUAAAAGAUUAUUA